rnacentral:rRNA from 1 species
CCCCCCUUUUUUUUCCAAACAUGUCUUAAUGAUUAAUAUUUAUUAAGUCUGGCCUGCUCAAUGAUUUUUAUUAAAUAGCCGCAGUAUUUUGACUGUGCGAAGGUAGCAUAAUCAUUUGUCUUUUAAUUGAAGGCUUGUAUGAAUGGUUGGAUGAAAAAAUAGCUUUCUUUAUAUUAAAUUUUGAAUUUAAUUUUUUAGUUAAAAAGCUAAGAUUUUUUAAUGGGACGAGAAGACCCUAUAGAAUUUUAUUAUAAUUUUCUUAAUUAUUUUUAGGUAUUUUAUAAUAUUUAAUUUUAUUAUAAUUUUGUUGGGGUGACAUUGAGAUUUUUUUAACUCUCAUAAAUAACAAAUUAUUUAUUUAUAUAUUUUAGAUCCUAUUUUAUGGAUUAUUAGAUUAAAUUACCUUAGGGAUAACAGCGUAAUUUUUCUGGAGAGUUCUUAUCGAUAGGAAAGUUUGCGACCUCGAUGUUGGAUUAAAAUUAGAUUUAAGUGCAGAAGCUUAAUUUCUAGGUCUGUUCGACCUUUAAAUUUUUACAUGAUUGGUUUUUUAACCCG